GGAAUAACAGUCCUAUAUUUGGUCAACGUUGGCGUGGAAUCCAAGCAAAAAGGACAAACACCCAAAAAAUGCGGAAUUCCAAAACCUUUGAAUUUUUCAUGCGGACGCCCACCGGAACGGCGCUAUUAUUACAACUCAACAGAGCAAAAAUGCAGACUCAUACACUAUACGCCUUGCAAAAUAGCCAAUGUUUUUAAGAGGCUUCCGGACUGCCUAAAGACCUGCGCACCGGAUUCACAGUGCAUUAAACCACCAAUAUGGUCAAACAGAAGCGGGAAGAAUUACUACUACACAUUUUUAGCUGCAGAACGCACUUGUUUACUACAAAAAGGAAUCUUUUAUUCCGAAGAUCCAAAGAAGAACGCU